UACGCAGGCAGCAAGCGUUGUUCGGAAUUACUGGGCGUAAAGAGUGUGUAGGCGGUGUUCUAAGUUUGUCGUGAAAUCUCCCGGCUUAACUGGGAGGGUGCGGCGAAAACUGGAAUGCUAGAGGAUGGGAGAGGUAAGCGGAAUUCCUGGUGUAGCGGUGAAAUGCGUAGAUAUCAGGAGGAACACCUGUGGUGUAGACAGCUUACUGGACCAUUUCUAACGCUGAGACACGAAAGCGUGGGUAGCAAACAGG
rnacentral:rRNA from 1 species